UCACUAGUCAAGAGAUUUUGCGUGGAAAAUGUAACGGGGCUAAGUAUCGAACCGAAGACAUGGAUUUGUAUUUUAUACAAGUGGUAGAGGAGCGUUGAUAUCGCGGCGAAGUCGAAUUGUAAAGUUCGGUGGAGCGUUAUCAAGUGAGAAUGCUGGAAUCAGUAACCAUAAGACAGGUGAGAAUCCUGUCGGUCGUAAGAGCAAGGUUUCCAGGGCUACAGUAAUUGUCCCUGGGUUAGUCGGUCCUAAGCCGAGGCGCAUCAGCGUAGGCGAUGGACAGCAGGUUAAUAUUCCUGCACAGGUAGUAGUUGUUGACAGUUCACGGCGAAUGACUGGAGCGGAUUAAUGGUUUAUCCGUCCAAGGCUUAUGGGAACAUAGGCCGAGUGAAAGGUAUUCUUCGGAAUAUCGAUUUCAGGUGAAGCGCUGGCUAGAAAAGCUGGUCAACUUAUGCUGCUGCCUACCGUACCGCAAACCAACACAGGUGCUCGGGUCGAGUAGACCAAGACCUACGAGAGAACCUUCGCUAAGGAACUCGGCAAAAAAGCGUCCGUAACUUCGGAAUAAGGACUGCCCUCUCAUUAAGAUGAGGAUUUGCUAAAAAGAGUUCUCGGCGAACGAGAAUGAAAAAUGGUGUUGUACCAAAAUUUCAAGAGAACGUUGUCGAGACACAACUAACUUUUUAGCAGCUCAAUCGUCGUUUUGAUGAGAGGGCCGCAGCUAAAGAGCCCACGGAACUGUUUACCAAAAACAUAGGUCUCUGCUAACGCGAAAGCGGAUGUAUAGGGGCUGACUCCUGCCCAGUGUCGGAAGGUUAAGGGGAGAACUUCACGGUUCGAACUGAAGCCCCGAUGAACGGCGGCGAUAACUAUGAUCGUCCUAAGGUAGCGAAAUUCCUUGUCUGGUAAGUUCAGACCUGCACGAAUGGAGUAAUCAUGUGGGCACUGUCUCGGCGAAGGCCUCGGUGAACGUGCAUUGGCGGUAAAGAUGCCGUCUGAUCAUGCCAGGACGAGAAGACCCCAUGGAGCUUUACUACAACUUUGCAUUGAUUGUUGGGACAUUUUGUGUAGCAUAGGUGGAAGACUUUGAAGCAGAUACGCCAGUAUUUGUGGAGUCGUAGGUGAAAUACCACCCUGAGUGUUUUAGUAAUCUCACGCUUGACAUUAACUGCCAAGCGGACCGUGCAUGGCGGGUAGUUUAACUGGGGCGGUUGCCUCCUAAAGAGUAGCGGAGGCGUUCAAAGGUUGGCUAACUACGGAUGGAAAUCGUAGUGAUAGUGUAUGCGCAAAAGCCAGCUUGACUGUGAGGGCUACAACCCAAUCAGACACGAAAGUGGGAGCAAAUGACCCGCUGUAUAGAACUUCGGUUCAAUUUACGUGGGAAAGACAGCGCACACGGAUAAAAGUUACCCUGGGGAUAACAGGCUGAUCGCGCCCAAUAGUUCACAUAGACGGCGCGGUUUGGCACCUCGAUGUCGGCUCAUCACAUCCUGGAGGGGGAGCACCUUCCAAGGGUCCGGCUGUUCGCCGGUUAAAGUGGUACGCGAGCUGGGUUCAGAACGUCGUGAGACAGUUCGGUUUAUAUCCGGCAUGAUCGUUAGGAAUUUUGAGGAGAUUUGUCUUUAGUACGAGAGGACCGAGAUGAACGAACCUCUAGUGUAUCGGUUGUGGCCACCUGCUGCAUCGCCGAGUAGCUAUGUUCGGAAGAGAUAAGCGCUGAAAGCAUAUUAAGCGCGAAGCCCACUCCAAGAUAAGAAUUCCCUAUGAAGUCCCAGAGAGAAGAUCUGGUUGA
rnacentral:rRNA from 1 species